rnacentral:rRNA from 1 species
UACUAUAUAAUAGUUAAAACUUUCAACAACGGAUCUCUUGGUUCUGGCAUCGAUGAAGAACGCAGCGAAAUGCGAUAAGUAAUGUGAAUUGCAGAAUUCAGUGAAUCAUCGAAUCUUUGAACGCACAUUGCGCCCUCUGGUAUUCCGGGGGGCAUGCCUGUUCGAGCGUCAUUACAACCCUCAAGCUUUGCUUGGUAUUGGACAUUGCCAGUUUCUGGCAGGUCUUAAAAUCAGUGGCGGUGCCAUUUGGCUUCAAGCGUAGUAAUUCUUCUCGCUUUGGAGAUCCAAGUGGUUACUUGCCAAUAACCCCCAAUUUUUUCAGGUUGACCUCGGAUCAGGUAGGGAUACCCGCUGAACUUAAGCAUAUCAAU